UUAAUACAACUACAACAACAUUGUAACAACUUUUAUACAAUAUUCAAGGCUUAAAGUUGUCACUCACAAUUUUGCGUAUGAAAACUAUAUUAAAAAUUUCGCUCACACAUGCCCGUACAUUUUUCAUACCGCUUUCAUACACAAAAAUUUGAGGUAAUUUUUUAAGCCUUUGAGCAAAUUUUUUUUUUUAAAUUUUUUUAAAACAAAAAAUAUAUGAAAAUACGUCAUAUUUCGAAAUAUCGUUAUAUUUUAUAAAUAAAAAAAAUUAUCUAUAUAUUUUGUAAUAACGAGUGUUAAGUAGUUACCUAUGUCAUAUUCCCAAAAAUAAUAACACGCCUUAGUUAUUUAGAUAGAUGUAACCGCUGUUUUUGAUUUCCUAUAAUAAAGGCACCCACAAACCAAUAUAUCCCUUUGAUUCCUCCAUUCUCUCACUCAAUGUACUCUCCCUCUCAGAAAAAAAAUUCUGAGUUUUCAUUUCGAUUCAUUUAACUAAUUUUGUUCUGCUUUGUAAGAAUUUUCUCUAAUCACUUAUUCUGUAAUUUGUAGCUUGGUGGAAGGAAAAAUUGAUGUGCUCUGAAUAUUUCAGAUCCUGUAAUUUUAAAUUUUGGCUGGUAUGCUUUUUGAUUAUCUAAAUACUACAACUGCCAGCACAAAAGAAACUCUACCUUCCUCAAUCGCAAUUGAACGCUUCGAAAUUGAAGUUCAUUGUUUUUCGGGGUUAGAUGUUAUUUCGAAUUCCUCUAUACAGGUCUUACCAAUCGCUCUCUACGAUCAAGUCUCUGUUCUCCCUUUCAACAAUUUUUUGUAGCAGAGAAGUGUAAUAAGAGUGCAAAAUGAGGACAUACAGAGAGUCACCCUGAAACUCAGCGGUUCAUUUAUACUUGAGGGGCGGAGCCAGAACAUUUGAUAAGGGGGUUCAAGAAUUUGUAUCUGGUGGAGAAGAUAAUACGGUAAAGGACAAAAUUCUCCAACGUACAUAUCAUUCAUGUAUAAAUUUUGUUUUCCUACAGCCCUCAAACCUUCUUAUGCACAAAAUUUAUAAUUAAAGAUAUACUUCUUAUUUACUUAGUAGGUUUCUUUGAUAGUAGGAUUUGCUGACGAAGCUUCGAUCAAUUUUUUCUAAUUGUGCAGAUGCAAUAUGUAUUCUCCUUUCAGUAUUCCAAUUUCCUCUUUAACUGAUACAUUCUAUUUUGUGAUUUUCUUGCAUUUGUUUAUAACAUGUUUGACUUUUCUUGCUAUACACAUGCUGGGAUAAGCAAGUACUUCUUUAAACUUUGCCUUAUAUUUUUAUGGAAUCGACCAAGUGUUCAAUCACGAUACCUCAUUAAGAAAAAUCAUUUGAGGAAAUUUAUUUACUCUAUUAAGAACUUUGGUUGAUGCUCAGCUUGAUAAUGAGCCUGAGUUCCAUAUCAUAGGUUCAUGUAUUUUUCAGUUUUGCUGUUGCAUAAAUCUCUUGAAAAUGGACGUGAAAGAGAACUUUCGUUAAGGAAAACUUAAAAAUAACCUUAAUGAGCAGUUCUUGAAUGGUGACUUUACUGUUUAUUAUUGGUUGUUUCUAACUUAGUUACAAAGUAAUCAGUAUCGCCUAUUUGCAUACACGUUCUGAAAAUCAGUUCUGUUCCUUGUUACUUUGCUCCUAUCCUUGGUUAUUCGUUUUUUCAGGUGAAAAAAUAAACCUUAUAGAACAAAUUUUGUUGAUGGUGAAAAGUCAUUAGAUACUAAUGCUGCUUUGGUAGAUGUAUGUUUGUAUGCUCCGCUACUACUUACACUGGUCACUUGUGAGGAUUAGGGAAAUAUUUUAAGGUACAUCCCAAUAUUAGAGAAUUUUUUGGUUUUACUGAAGAUCAUAGGUGUUUCAUAGACUUUGUUGAUGAUAAUAGAUAAGUAGCUCAAGCAUAUUUUUUAUACCAAGGCAGCACUAAUUUCUUGGCUAAAGACAACCUUCAUGUAUUUUAUGUGUCAACACUAAUUAAAAAAUUUGAUCUAAUAAUGCGCAUUGUUAAAAUUAUUAAUAUUUUUUCCUCAUUGGUUUUAUGUACCUCACAUUUUUUCAAAGUGAGAAUAUUCUUCUCAAAGUUACUACGAAUCUCGAUUCCAAACAUGUUCAGGAUGAUAGAUGUUUUACUUCCAUAAUUUAGUUGAGUCAGCUGGGAUAGGAGGCAUUUGCGGGGGAUAUGAAUGGAGUAAUGAUAAUGGCUUCCCAUUUCCCUGUCGCUAAUAUCAGCAACUACUUGGCAGAGGCAAAGGCUACAUCUUUUGGACUGAAUUGAUGCAGGAACAAUGGCUUGAGGCAUAACAUUCUAGAAUGCGAUUCUCUUUCGGUUGUAAAUAUGUUACCGGGAAAGAGCAAUACUCCACGGGAGAUGAAAGACGCAACAUAGGAGGCAAAGAUUCAUAUUGAACAUGGUGAUUGCAAGAUUAAACAUUGUUACAGAGAAGCUAAUCAGGUUACAAAUGCGUUGGCUAAAUGGAGUAUAGGAACAUGGCGUUGGCGUUUAGACAUAUUCACAGAAGAAACCUGUUUUCGUAAUGUUGGAAGCAUAUCUUUUCCCCUGUUUUAUAUCAGAUUUUUUGCCCUAGAAGAUAUGUUUUCUACUUUCCUUCCGUACAGGAACUAGCUAAGGAGUUAAGGAUAUUUAGUCCUACUCCUAUGUAAUAAUUUUUGGCUCAUAUAUAUAAGGGACACGCCACCAUACGGCGGAGGUGCAUUUUAAAAAAAAUAAAUUUGCGCGUCAGCAAAGGAUUUAGGGU